GACAUCAAGCAUUUAUCCAGUAAAGUAUCGCCAACAGACAGCACUCAAGUUACAAGGCAGCAAACAGGGACUGGGACGUCCGAGGAUGCAAACACAACAUGGCCUUGUCAGGGAAAAUUGAAACAGAACACACGAUACAUUUAACAAUUGCAGGCACAGGAAAGGCAGGUUGAUUAAUUAUUACACCCCUGUCUACUGCUUGAGAUGCAGCCCACAGGGAAAGGAACAAGAAUGGAAGUUGGAAAUAGGCCUUUGAGCGCAGCCGGGGUUUGAAUGGAAACAACUUGGAAGCACAAAUACCAAACCCAACUGCUGAAAGUAAAAGUUUAAUUCAAUGAACUUUAGGCCUUUUCAGUUCACAAAAGAGCACCAUUAAAGUAAUGAUAAAUCA